rnacentral:misc_RNA from 1 species
AAGUCGUAACAAGGUUUCCGUAGGUGAACCUGCGGAAGGAUCAUUACUGAAGAUAAGAGAGUUUUGAGACUGCGGCUCUGCCGUGUGCUCGACUCUCACUCUUUAAUUCCACAUACACCUUUGUGCACCAUGGGGAGAUUGCGGUUUCCCCCCUUUUCACAUAAACACAAAGUUAUAUGCAUGUCUUGUAAUAUUGCUCUACGGAGUUAAAUAUAUAACAACUUUCAACAACGGAUCUCUUGGCUUUC